UGGAAUACUAUCGGUAGCAAACGGGUUCCAUUGCCACCCAUUUGUUUUUGAUGAUGGAGCCUCCAAAUCGACGAUCGGUACUGUUGAAAAUGAUCUAUACCACUUGAAGUAUCUAGAAAUCAAAUUUCAUGCUUUUUCGAUAUUGUUCUCUUAUUCAUCAAGUGGGUGUAAAAAUGAACGGCUGAAAAUGAAUAUCCUCUAAAAUGUGAUGAUAGGAAUUUUGUAAUCAAGAUCGAGAGUAUAGAUCUUGUUCUAAAUAGUUUAAAGAAUUUUCUAAUCAAAAUUUAAUUAAUUUGGAUAGCUUUACACCUUUAAACGAGAAAAUGCCUCAUAUCGACUAUUAAAAUUACAAAUUUUGAAACCCUUUGAUCAUUAGGUCAAUGAUGUUGAAAAGAUUAGAAAUUUGAUUUUUAGAUACUUCAAGUGAUAUAGAAAAUGCAUAAAAAUUGUUCAAUUCUGAGACUACUCGAUCACAAGUUAAGUGAUGUCAAAAAAUUACAAAAUUUAAUUCCUAAGGUAUCGUUUGGUUCGGGGAUAAGCAAAAAGUGGCUAUUCCAGGGAUAGGUAUAAAUUGAGGUAUAUGCGGGGAUUAGAUCAAUUUUGCGUUUGGAUGAAAAUUGGGUUAUUUCUGGGAAUAAAAAAAAUAGCGUUUGGUUAGGUAAGAUGGAAUAAGAAAGAUAGUGGGUUUUAAUAAAUAAAAAAUAAUGAUAUUAUCCUCUUAUUAUAUUUGAAUUUAAAUUUUUAAAUUUUUAAUUUUAAAAUUUUAACUUUUAAAUUUCAAAAUUUGAAAUUUAAAAUCUCAAAUUUAAAAUUCAAAAUUUUAAAUUUUAAAUUUCAAACUUUAAAUUUAAGAUCAAAUUUAAAUUUAAUAAAUAUAAAAUAUCAAAUUUUAAAUUUCAAAAUUAAAAUAUCAAAAUUAAAAUUUAUAAUUUAUAAUUUAUAAUUUAUAAUUAUAAACUUUAAUUUUGAGAUUAUAAAUUAUAAAUUAUAAAUUUGUAAAUUUUAAAAUUUUAAAUUUUAAAUUUUUAAAAUUUUAAAAUAAGAAUAGGAGUGGGAACAAUUAAUAAAAAUAAUUUAUUAUAAUACAUUUAUAAUUUUUUUUAAAAUUCUACUUAAACUUAAAUUUAAUAAAAAUAAUUUAUUAUAAUAUUCAAAUAUAAUUUAUUAUAAAUUUUAUUAUAAUAUUUAAAUAUAAAUAAUAUUUAUUAAUAUAGUACAAUUAAUAAUUGUAUAAUAAAAAUAAUGUAUUAUAAUAUAUAAGAUAUUAUAAUUAUAUAAUUUAGUUUUAAUUCAAUUUAUAAUAAUUUUAAUUAAGUUUGAAAUUAAGAAUUGGAAUAGCACCAUUCCACUAAAAUGGUGGAAUAGCAAAUCCCUUGUUAUUCCGGAAUAAUCGGGAAUAGCAAGGUUUGGCCGGGAUAAAAUAUCCCGGCCAAAUUUCACCCCGUUUGGCGGAAUAGUGGGGAUAACUUUCGUUAUCCCCGCUUAUCCCCCGAACCAAACGGGGCCUAAAAGUUUUGAAUGUUCUAGAUAAACUUGAACGGUGUGGAUCGUCGAUUCGGAUGUUGUAUCAUCGAAAAUGGCUAAAUAGUACCGAGCCAGAAUACUCUUAUGAGUAUUCUUGCCCAUCUCUCUCUCUCUCUCUCUCUCUCUCUCUCUUUAUAUUUUUAUGCCUAUUAAGUGCAGUAAUGAAGUAUGCUUCAUUAUUGCAUUUCUUAAUCUUUUAAGGUUUAAAUCUCUUAACCAUAUCUUUUCGUAUGUUUCAGUAACAUUUUUAUGAUUAUUAAUGUAACCUGUUAUCAUAUAUAUAUCGAUUUUUUUUUUCUUUUAAUUAGUAUACUUGUAAAUGGACAUUUUUAUUCAUUUAGUCCUGUUUGCUGAGUAAUUCCUUCUCCUUGUAACAAACAAGUGGUUCUUAGUAAGAAAUCUCGGUAGCUGCUCUUGAGAUUGGACGUAGCAGGGGCAUGUUGCAGGAUAUUGUAAUCACCUCAGUUUCCUUUUGAGUGGAAAAAGUUGAGCUUUUUAGUAAAUGAUCUUUGAGAUUUUGUUUCCUACUGAUAGGACUGUUUGGUCUUACCUUCUUUCUAAAUAAGAAGUUGCAGCUACUAAUUAAAUAUAUUAUCUUUACCCUUGUCCCUUUUUCUUUUUAUUUCAUCGUAUUUCUUCUUAUUCUGACUGGUUUCAUCUUAAAGUUUUGAUGGUAUCAAGCCUAAACUGAUUUCCUAGGAGUGUGAGGCAAAAGUUUUGACCUAACCAAAUUCUGAUUAUUGUUCAUGAAAGCUGAUUUAUCACUA
rnacentral:lncRNA from 1 species